rnacentral:lncRNA from 1 species
AAAUUUAGACCAAAAUAAAUUUAGAUAAGACCCUUACAUAGUGAAACUUAAAUCAUAAUAAAUUUAUAUUGAAAAAUCACAUAUGAUUUAUACAAAUUGGUACUCAAAUCUACGAUUAUGAAGUUCCCACAACCUAACUUUACCAUUGAGAGAAAGCUUAUCUCUUUUUUUUUUUUUUUGAACAACAAUAUCCAUUGCAAGAGAAAUAUUACAAGCAAAUAGAUGAUCAAAUUCCGUACACAGGUACAAUCAAUACAAGAUCCAAAAGUUGAAACCCAAAUCUGGAAAAGAGUAUACGUCGCUUAAAUCAAGUAGCCAUUGCCAAUCAAGAGGAAGUAAAGGCGAAAACCCUUGCUGUAAAUAAGGUUUUCAAGAAUCAAGGUGGAUAAGUUACCAAGAUGAGUAGAGUCCCAUUAAGUCUUCACCCCCAUUGCAAUGGACAUGCCUCUAAUUAGCUUAAAACAAUAGGUGCAAAGAGCUUUAGCAAAAGAGGCAAUCCAUGGAUGCCUAAGAACUCCUAAAAUGGGGAGUAAAAUCCUUCACACACAAGCCAUCAAUGGAAUACAAAAACAUCGAGAAAACCUACACCAAGGAAGACAAAACCCACUAUAAUAGUGGGGGAGCCAAGGAGGACACCAAAAGGCAACGCAUUAUUAUGCUGAAAAGGGGAUUCACACCUACAUCUUGUCGACAUCCAAAGGCCAACAAUGGCACUGGCUUAAACAAAAGGUCGAAGAAAAGAAGUAGUAAAGAAAAGGAGAGAUAGAUGAGGGCGAUUCGGAGGGUUGACAACCAAUUGAAAAACCAUCAGCAACCCUACUACCAGCCGAAGAGAGAGAGAUAGUCGAAACAAAAAGAAAAAAUAGAGAAACGAGGACAAUGAAGGGGAAUAAUAAGAGAAUACUGGAAAGAUAAGUUAAGAAAACAGUGAAU